rnacentral:tRNA from 1 species
GUUGUGGCUCAGUGGUGGAGCACUUGCCUAGAAUGCGUGAAGCACUGGGUUCGAUCCCUGGCACAACA